rnacentral:rRNA from 1 species
UACAGAGGGUGCAAGCGUUGUUCGGAAUUAUUGGGCGUAAAGGGCGCGUAGGCGGUGCGGUAAGUCUGCGGUGAAAUCUCCCGGCUCAACUGGGAGGCUGCCGUGGAAACUGCCGUGCUUGAGUGUGGGAGAGGUGAGUGGAAUUCCCGGUGUAGCGGUGAAAUGCGUAGAUAUUGGGAGGAACACCUGUGGCGAAAGCGGCUCACUGGACCACAACUGACGCUGAGGCGCGAAAGCUAGGGGAGCAAACGGG